AACGUUUUUGAAUUUUGAUAAAUAAAAGGCAGAGAGACCAUUGACCGAGGGUCAAAUAGAGCCCAAAAGGGUUCAUGAUUCAUGAAUCUAGCCGGAAGACCCGACCCGAACCGACCCGAAAUAGACCAAAUUCAAACCCACGAACCAAACCCACAUCAGAGAAUUCUAUGAAGCGAUCUAAGGAUCCUUUUGAAGCUGCUCUUGAGGAGCAGGAUGACUCACCCCCUGAAUCCCCUGUUGGCACUGACGAGAAUGAAGGCCAAGACCAAGCUGCAGGUGAUGAUGUUAAUACCACUUCUCGUGAAAAGCCUUCAACAUCUAAAGCUGCAUCAGUCUCUGUUGGUACUGCUGGUCCAAUUAGCAAGCCCAAAGAGGAAGAUGAAGAAGAAGAGGACGAAAACAUGGAUGUGCAGUUGGGAAAACUCUCAUCAAGUAGUGAUCCUGACAAACUGGAAAAGAUGCAGUCCAUCUUAUCCCAAUUUACGGAGGAGCAAAUGAGUAGAUAUGAAUCUUUUCGGAGAUCUGGAUUUCAGAAAUCCAACAUGAAGCGGUUGCUGUCCAGCAUCACAGGAAGUGCAAAGAUAUCUAUUCCUAUGACAAUUGUGGUGUCUGGGAUAGCAAAAAUGUUUGUUGGCGAGCUUAUUGAAACAGCUAAAAUGGUGAUGGCAGAGAGAAAAGAUACAGGACCAAUCAGGCCAUGUCACAUAAGAGAAGCAUAUAGAAGGCUAAAACUUGAAGGCAAGAUUCCGAAAAAAACAGUGCCAAGGCUUUUCCGAUAGCGGACGUGGAAGCAACCUGUAGUUUUAUUUCAGGUCAAGUAAACAUUGGUAGUCACAAAGUUGUCACGGUGCUUCUGACACUUUUGCACUGCCCUAUUAUAUGUAGGGUUAGCUUGUUUAUUUAAUCACCUAAUCAGAGGAAAGUGUUUAACAUUUGUGAAAAUAUCCGUGCUUCCCCUAACCUGGAGCUGAAAAUGUGGGAAGGAGAAUGUUACCUUCUCAAAAGAAAAAAAAUGUGAUUUGUAGCAGCCAGCCACUUCCUUAGCAGAAAGGCGUACAAUGCACUUGUAAAUCUUGGACGAAAAGCUUGGAUGAAGUUUUUAGGUUUUCUUCAGCCCAAUAUUUACCUUUACAAGGUGAAGUUUUGGCUCUUCUUUGAGAUGCUGGGUUUCGUUCGGAGAAGUUAAAUUUUAGAGCAUUCAGCCGCCAUGAGAAGAGAGUUCUCACCUUGACUUGAGGAUUGGCAGGACGAAGACCCGGAACAAGUGCAACCAACUUAGUUGUAUAGUUUAUAUAUAGUGUUGUAUAUUGAGUAUCAGCUGUUGCUUUCAUUUUUCCCUUUUCUGAAGGGGAGCAUACAUAGCAUACAUGAAAUUAUCAAAAAUAGUAGAAAAUGAUAGAAUGUCAAGAAGAGAUAGUUAAUGGCCAAA